rnacentral:rRNA from 1 species
CUUUACUGCAGCUUGGCAGUGGCGCCAGGAAGGGACUGUGUAGGAUAGGUGGGAGGCAUUGAAGCCGGGGCGCCAGCCUUGGUGGAGCCAACCUUGAAAUACCACCCUGUGCCUUUCUGGCGUCUAACCGAACCCCGUUAUCCGGGGUCGGGACCCUGCCUGGUGGGCAGUUUGACUGGGGCGGUCGCCUCCCAAAGAGUAACGGAGGCGCGCGAUGGUGGGCUCAAGCCGGUCGGACAUCGGCUGUUGAGUGCAAAGGCACAAGCCCGCCUGACUGCGAGCGCGACAGCGCGAGCAGGGACGAAAGUCGGCCUUAGUGACCCGGUGGUCCCGCGUGGAAGGGCCAUCGCUCAACGGAUAAAAGGUA